AGUGGGAUAGCUGGGUCAAAUGGUGGUUCCAGUCUAAGUUUUCAAAGGAAUCUCCACACUGUUUUACAGUAUGGUUGCACCAAUUUUCAAUGCCACCAGCAAU
rnacentral:pre_miRNA from 1 species